rnacentral:lncRNA from 1 species
GUGCAUUUUAGGCGUUUUUAAUAACAUUUUUAUUUUUACACUCAGUAGAAAUCCGGUCCAAAAGAAAGAUGGGACAGAUAGGAGUUAUUAGCCUCCUAUAACUUCACCCAGUUUCUCCUGAGCUGAGUGUGAUUCAUGGCUUCCCAGUUUUAAACACUCUGUUUACACAUCUGAACUUCUCCUCCAUAAGUCCGGCCUCACGUGAGCAACGGCUGGUGGGCCAAACCGAGUCUGAGCAGAAUUGUAAUUUGCCUAGAAGUAGGACAAGGUGGCUCCGCCCACUUUUCGCAAACGAGCCCGCUGAUUGGACACGGUCGGUGGCGGAGGAGGAUUUUUAUUGGCGGGAACAGGAACGUGAGCAGGCGGUGAUUGGCUGCUGUUUUACUUCGGCUUCAGCAGCCGAGCCCCGCUCUACACACACUACAGCCAGUGAUGGUGGGGAGGCGCAGCCCGGCUCCACUGACUGACUGAACGCGCAGCUCCGCUCCCCGCGCUCCCCUCUCCUCUCCGGGGAACUCUCCGGGGAACUCCAGCCCGCCUGGGGGUCCAGCAGGGCGAUGACCGGUGGUCUCAGGGCAGCGUCAGAGGCGUCCGGCUGAUACAGAGAUGAGUCCUCCCUCCUGAACCAAGACAAUGCAGAACAUAUGCACGGACUUCCCGAGAGCACGGUAACAGAAGAACCAUCGCCCUGCAGUUCCUCAAAUGGAUGACAGAGGGUGCCUCCCUCCAAGCGGGAGUGCUGAGCCCAGACUCCCCACCUCAGCUAUUCAACUGGAACGUGACAGUAGGGUCAGACAGAUCCGAAGGGAGCCAGGUGACCCAGUGACAUCCACACAUAUCCGGAAGGAGGACCUCUCAGAUGUGCCACGCAAGGUGCCUCGCUUCCAGUAUGUGGACUUCCCCUCACUGCACCAGUGCAUCAAACAGUUAUCUGUGCCCCCUCUGGAGGGCUGGUUGGCCUCUUGCCCCCUGGGGAGGGUACAGUCCUGCCAGCCCAGCAGUCCCAAGGAAAAGGUGCCCAAGUUUAAGUACGUUGACUAUCCUUCACUGUACCAUUGCAUCCAGCAGCUGUCCGUGCCUCCUUUAGAGAUCUGGAGCUCAGGCCUGACAAAGCCCGGGCCUGCCUCAGGGGACUUAAGGGACAAGACUGUGGCUGGGCAGACUUCCUCUCAGGUGCCUGUGCACCACAGAGAGAAGCACCAAGAGGUGCAGGGGCAUAGAGCUGAGCUGGAAAGCAGAGUUCCAAUUCCAAGUGGUCAUGGAGUCAGGCUGCACCCAAAAGACAUGCUUUCAGGUCAGACUUCAGAAACGGGGAUAAGCCCCCGUACAAAUGUGGAUGAGACCCCUCAGAAGCCCUCUGGUUCUAGAUCUGAGUCAGUCUCUAAAACUGAACCAGAAAGAGUAGCAACAAGGAACGAGAGGGAUAUCAGACCAUCAGUUAUCAGUAUGGUGCGCACAGAACGACACAAACACAGCACGCAACCAGAGGAAAGUUUAAAGAGGCGAACAUCUCCAGAUCCUGUGGAACAAGUGAAGCGGCAGGCAGUUCUGGCAGAGUCGGUCUGUUCCUUCUGCCUGCAGAUGUUUGCAGAUCCUGAAGAACUCUGGAAUCACCAGCGCAGCCACAAAGACAAGAAACCGCACUGAUGACCUGAUUCAGAGGCUCUACGAUAUCACUGGUCACCUGUUCAGUAACCUGUUCAGUUUGGCCUUAAUCUAUCAGCGCAUUCCACAUCUACAGACUGCUCCAGCUCCAGACUGACAAAGCCUUCUGCCAUUCUGGCUACUGUUACAGUGUUAGCUAUGGGGAGACCAAGCAAUUUGAAGACACAUUAUUAAACAUCAUUAAAAAAAAGACUUUUUGGCCUUUGAGUAAACCCAAACACCAGUUAGCUGUUAGCAUAUGAACCUUUCAAAUGUUCAUUGGUUUAAUUUGAAAGAAAAAAAAAAACAAUAUUCAAAAUAUAAUGGAUAGACAGGCAGAGACAUGAUUAUACACACACAUGCCUCAUACAAAGGUAAUAUUUACUUUUCUACAUGACCAGCUGACGUAACACUGUUGGCCUCCGGGCUGGAAGAGUGGAAACUCUGGGGGGAGUAUAUCUGAUGAAA